AGCUCCAAUAGCGUAUAUUAAAGUUGUUGCGGUUAAAAGCUCGUAGUUGGAUUUCUGUUGAGGACGGCCGGUCCGCACUAUGUGCGUGUAUCUGGUUCGGCCUUGGCAUCCUCUUGAGGAACGUAUCUACGCUUGAUUGCGUGGAGCGGUAUUCAAGACUUUUACUUUGAGGAAAUUAGAGUGUUCACGGCAGGCAAGCGCCUUGAAUACAUUGGCAUGGAGUGACAAUGUGGGAUUUCGGUUCUAUUUUGUUGGUUUCUGGAGCUGAGGCAAUGAUUAAUGGGGACACUUGGGGGCAUUCGUGUUGUCACGUCAGAAGUGGAAUUCUUGGAUUGUGUCACAGCGAACCACUGCGAAAGCAUUUGCCAAGGAUGUUUUCA
rnacentral:rRNA from 1 species